rnacentral:rRNA from 1 species
GUGCCAGCCGCCGCGGUAAUACGAGGGGUGCAAACGUUAUUCGGAAUUAUUGGGCGUAAAGGGUGCGCAGACGGUGUAUUAAGUCAACUGUUAAAGCCUCCGGCCUAACUGGAGAUAGGCAGUAGAUACUAAUAUGCUAGAGGAUGGAAGAGAGAAGUGGAAUUCUUGGAGUAGCGGUGGAAUGCGUAGAUCUCAAGAGGAACACCAAUGGCGAAGGCAGCUUCUUGGUCCAUUUCUGACGUUGAGGCACGAAAGCGUGGGGAGCAAACAGGAUUAGAUACCCUGGUAGUCCACGCUGUAAACGAUGAUCACUAGAUGUUAAAUCUGCUUGCAGGUUUAGUGUCGUAGCUAACGCGAUAAGUGAUCCGCCUGGGGACUACGGUCGCAAGAUUAAAACUCAAAGGAAUUGACGGGGGUCCGCACAAGCGGUGGAACAUGUGGUUUAAUUCGACACUACGCGAGGAACCUUACCUAGGUUUGACAUGUAUAUGAUCGCUAAAGAGAUUUAGUUUCUUAAGGGUAACCUUGAGCAUAUACACAGGUGCUGCAUGGCUGUCGUCAGCUCGUGUCGUGAGAUGUUGGGUUAAGUCCUAUAACGAGCGCAACCCUUGCUGUCAGUUGCUAUUCUGUGAAGAAGCACUCUGAUGGGACUGCCUGGGAAACCAGGAGGAAGGUGGGGAUGAUGUCAAGUCAGCAUGGCCCUUAUGCCUAGGGCUACACACGUGUUACAAUGGUUAAUACAAAGGGCUGCAAGUCUGUAAAGAGGAGCUAAUCCCAUAAAGUUAAUCUAAGUUCGGAUUGAGGUCUGAAACUCGACCUCAUGAAGUUGAAAUCGCUAGUAAUCGCAUAUCAGCAUGGUGCGGUGAAUACGUUCUCGGACCUUGUACACACCGCCCGUCAAGCCAUGAAAGUUGUUUGUACCCGAAAUCAUCUUAGCUAACUUGUAAAAGAGGCGGAUGCUGAAGGUAUGGGGAGUGAUUGGGGCUAAGUCGUAACAAGGUAACC